rnacentral:tRNA from 1 species
ACCUGGCUGGCUCAGUUGAUAAAGCAUGUGACUCUCGAUCUCUGAAUGGUGAGUUUGAGCCUCAUGUUGGGUG